UGAGGAAUAUUGGGCAAUGCCCGAAGGGUGACCCAGCAACGCCGCGUGGAGGAUGAAUGUCGUAAGAUUGUAAACUCCUGUUAGAGGGGAAGAAUAGUACCGGUUGGACCGGUAUAUGACUGUACCCUCAGAGAAAGCCCCGGCUAACUACGUGCCAGCAGCCGCGGUAAUACGUAGGGGGCAAGCGUUGUCCGGAUUUACUGGGUGUAAAGGGCGCGCAGGCGGGAUAAAAAGUCAGUGGUGAAAUCCUACAGCUUAACUGUAGAACUGCCUUUGAUACUUUUAUUCUUGAGUUCGGGAGAGAGAGACGGAAUUCCAGGUGUAGUGGUGAAAUACGUAGAUAUCUGGAAGAACACCAGUUGCGAAGGCGGUCUCUUGGUCCGACACUGACGCUGAGGCGCGAAAGCGUGGGGAGCAAACA
rnacentral:rRNA from 1 species